rnacentral:rRNA from 1 species
AUACGGAGGGUGCAAGCGUUAAUCGGAAUUACUGGGCGUAAAGCGUACGUAGGCGGUUCGUUAAGUUAGAUGUGAAAGCCCCGGGCUUAACCUGGGAACUGCAUUUAAAACUGGCGGACUAGAGUUGAGUAGAGGGGAGUGGAAUUUCAGGUGUAGCGGUGAAAUGCGUAGAGAUCUGAAGGAACACCAGUGGCGAAGGCGACUCCCUGGACUCGAUCUGACGCUGAGGUACGAAAGCGUGGGUAGCAAACGGGAUUAGAUACCCUAGUAGUCC